rnacentral:vault_RNA from 1 species
GCACUGGUGUAGCUCAGUGGUUACUUCGAUUAUCAAUUCUCUCUGCAGAAUUCGCUGAUCUCUCUCCCGUCCGGGAUCGAGCCACGGGUGCUGUCCAGUGUUUUU